rnacentral:misc_RNA from 1 species
GCGAAAGAGAAACAAACGCAAUGAUUGAAUGCCUUUUCGCUCUGUUCGGUGUAAGUUUUCCAUGUAUUGCAAAUUUUGCAAUAAUGCCACAUUUGUAACGUUCCUGGAAAUGUUGAUUCACGGAUAUAAACGAAGAGCCUUGCUCGUAUAUAUGUUAAUAAAACGUAGCGUGUAAAUUAAUUGGUUUAUAGUUGAAUUUACAGUACGAUGAAAGAUGAAUUUAGAAUGAGUAAGCAGUAACACCAACGCUGUUGUUGAUGAUUUUGGAUAUUUAUUAAAGUUGACGAUAUUAAUUAUUGUAAAAAGCAACACGUCAGCAGCUUAUAAUUAAUAAACACGAAGUUAGCGGUGUAUCCUAAAUUAUUCCUCUCGAUGAACGCGUGUCAGGAAAGUUUUCGAAAAUAAAAGAUUCGAAGAAAUGACGCGAUAAGAAUUGCUUCCGUCAGCAUUUUCGCGCAACCAUUUUACGUCAUUAUAUUCAAUAAUUUAAUUUUCAUCGUAAAUCUUACCGAGACUUUAUCAAACCUGUAAUGUAAAUUUUAUUUCUGAAAAUUUCAAGCGGUUAACCUACAUUUGCUAAUUAGAAAGUAUGCGAAAAGUCGAGGUUGUGUUUGCUAUCUCACUCGACCCCCUCUCAUUUUCUCAUUUUUUUUUUUUUUUUUUUUACAAUACAUAGUUAUUUUUUCAUAAUAAAUGUCAUCGCGAAUAAGUCUGUCGCAUAAAAAUUUGUAUACCUAUAGUUUGUCGCGAGACGAUUUACGUUCAUAAAUUGAAUAAAAUUACAUUGUGUCACAUUAGUUGAGCAGAUUUUUUCGGUAAUGAAGACACUUUAAUAGACUCGUUGUUUCGCAUGUCGGAUUUGAGAAAAUGAAUUGUUAUAACGUUACGCGUCUAUUUGUUAGUAAUAAUAGAAUACAAUUAUAUCGAUAUAAUUUGUCAUUAAUAUUAUAAUUUU